UAUACUUUAGAAAUUUCUAUUUUAAUUUAGUCACUUUUUUAAAGGAUCUGAAAGAAAAGGAGCAACAGCUGGAUAACAAUGAAAUUGAUAAAAAUGAAUGGGAAGAUGAAUGGGAAAGUUUUGAAACUGAAACAAAUAUUGCUAAAAAUGCAGAAAAACUGAGGAAUUUCUUCCCUGAAGAACAAGAAGAUCCAUUUGCUAGUCUUCAAAAACAGGCCAGCAAAAGCAAAGAUGAAUCUCAGCCUUCUCCUGGCAAUGAUGACUGGAACUCAUCUGAAAACUGGGAAACAUGGGAAUCUAGUAAAAGUACUGUACAGAAAAAUAUAGAAGAAUCUCCUGUUGAAAAGCAAGCAAAUAGUAGAACUGUUAGAGAGGAGAAACGCAGACAGAGGCUAAGAGAGCGACAGCUAGCAAAGCCAAAAAAAUUAGGAGCUCAGAAAAUUUCCUAAUAUUUUCCUAAUUCUAGAUUAUUUUAUCAAUUUAUAUAAAAUGACAAAUACGUUUAAUCAUGUGAAUAAAGGCAAUUAUUUUAUCUAAGUCAUUGUGUAUUUGCAUAUAAUUAUACUGUUAAAUAAUGUAAAAAUGUUUUGAAAUAAAGUAUUUGUAAUUUUUAA